rnacentral:rRNA from 1 species
UACGAAGGGUCCUAGCGUUGUUCGGAAUCACUGGGCGUAAAGCGUUUGUAGGCGGCUCUAUAAGUCGGGUGUGAAAUCCCACGGCUCAACCGUGGAAGUGCAUUCGAAACUGCAGAGCUUGAAUAUGGAAGAGGAGAGUAGAAUUGCUGGUGUAGUGGUGAAAUACGUAGAUAUCAGCAGGAAUACCGGUGGCGAAGGCGGCUCUCUGGUCCAAUAUUGACGCUGAGAAACGAAAGUGCGGGGAUCAAACAGG